rnacentral:rRNA from 1 species
GCCGUAAACGAUGGGCACUAGGUGUGGGGGGUAUAACUCCCUCCGUGCCGCAGCUAACGCAUUAAGUGCCCCGCCUGGGGAGUACGGCCGCAAGGCUAAAACUCAAAGGAAUUGACGGGGGCCCGCACAAGCAGCGGAGCAUGUGGCUUAAUUCGAAGCAACGCGAAGAACCUUACCAGGGCUUGACAUUCAGGUGAAGCGGCGGAAACGCCGUGGCCGAAAGGAGCCUGAACAGGUGGUGCAUGGCUGUCGUCAGCUCGUGUCGUGAGACGUU